CUAUAAGAACCCCAUUACCGUCCUCACUGCCAGUUCGUGUGCCACAAAGCGUCAGCCAUGCCCCGCCACAUCUUCGUGUUUCUGCUGCUAUCCGUCUGCUUGAUUCAGGUAGCGGUGUCGCUGGUUGACGAACUCCAGGAUGAGUUGGAGCGGUUGAACAUUUACUACGAGAAGCAAGAAAAGAAGUACAUGCCGCCUCACGUGAACGAGGCUAGUCACAUGUUGAUGAAAUAUUUAAGGCAGGAGGCGCAGAGGCGGAUAGACAAGGAGUUGGCCGAGGCAGCCGCCUCCACCUCCACCUCAGCCGUCCCCGCCUAGACCCUUCUGGAUGUGAUCUGGGGACAACCACUGAAAAUUUCAUAACUUUGUAAGCAAUCGACUGAUGGGUAUGAUACAUGAAGCGUCAUCAGCCACUAAGUGUCCUGAGAAUCAGUCAUAAAAUUCUUCAUCGCCGGAUGCACCAACCGACCUCAACUGUCCAGUGUGACGGCCUAAUGUCCCAAGGAAAAGUAUCGCUACAUCUCUAUAGUUUUAGAGUUUAUACAUUGUAACGAAUGAAUUUAAUAAGAAAGGGUCUAGAGAAAAAAUUCAAAAUAUUCAAUGUCUCGGUGAAAAAUAAAUUGGAGCAUGUAUCUAUAUUAGCAAUAACAUUAUAGAGCAAGUUUGGCAGUGAGACGUCUUGAUGUGUUUUUACAUGCAUUCUAAAGGAAAAUAUUCACUGUUCCAUGUUCUUACACGCACUUACUGAAUGUAAUGUAUUAAGUAUUUAACCAUUCCUUCGGCACCGUUUUAUAAUUUUGAGAAAAAUGUAUUUUAGAUAUAUUUUCGAAUAAAUAGUGUUUCCAGAA